GGCUAGGUGGCAGAAUGGUUCAUGCAAAAGAUUGCAAAUCUUAUAAUAUUGGUUCAAUUCCGAUUCUAGCUU
rnacentral:tRNA from 3 species